AGUGAACGCUGGCGGCAGGCCUAACACAUGCAAGUCGAACGGCAGCACAGUAAGAGCUUGCUCUUACGGGUGGCGAGUGGCGGACGGGUGAGGCAUACAUCGGAAUCUACUUUUUCGUGGGGGAUAACGUAGGGAAACUUACGCUAAUACCGCAUACGACCUACGGGUGAAAGCAGGGGAUCUUCUGACCUUGCGCGAGUGAAUGAGCCGAUGUCGGAUUAGCUAGUUGGCGGGUGAAAGGCCCACCAAGGCGACGAUCCGUAGCUUGUCUGAGAGGAUGAUCAGCCACACUGGAACUGAGACACGGUCCAGACUCCUACGGGAGGCAGCAGUGGGGAAUAUUGGACAAUGGGCGCAAGCGUGAUCCAGCCAUACGGCGUGGGUGAAGAAGGCCUUCGGGUUGUAAAGCCCUUUUGUUGGGAAAGAAAAGCAGCAGGUUAAUACCCCGCUGUUCUGACGGUACCCAAAGAAUAAGCACCGGCUAACUUCGUG
rnacentral:rRNA from 1 species